CAGCCGCCGCGGUAACACGUAGGGUGCGAGCGUUAAUCGGAAUUACUGGGCGUAAAGCGUGCGCAGGCGGUCUUGUAAGACAGGCGUGAAAUCCCCGGGCUCAACCUGGGAAUGGCGCUUGUGACUGCAAAGCUAGAGUGCGGCAGAGGGGGAUGGAAUUCCGCGUGUAGCAGUGAAAUGCGUAGAUAUGCGGAGGAACACCGAUGGCGAAGGCAAUCCCCUGGGCCUGCACUGACGCUCAUGCACGAAAGCGUGGGGAGCAAACAGGAUUAGAUACCCGAGUAGUCCCUGUCUCUUAUAC
rnacentral:rRNA from 1 species